GGGUCUGUAGCCUUGAGGUUACGCUUUCGCUUCAUAAGCGGAAGGUCAUGGGUUCGAUUCCCAGCCACUCCCA
rfam:Aedes aegypti strain Liverpool supercont1.160 genomic scaffold, whole genome shotgun sequence.